GUGCAGGUCUGGCUGCAGGUGCCAUACACGGUGCAUUCAUCGAAGUCUUUGCAGCUCCUCCUGUCCUCGGCCAGCUGGAAGGAGUUGUUGCAGUAGCAGGCAGGGCCGCUCAGCGUGGGCACGCAGUGGUGCUGGCAGCCCAACGCCGUGCAGUUGGCCAAUUGCUCCCUGCAGUGCGGCCCCUCAUCCGAGCCAUCGAAGCAGUCGUGGAGCCCAUUGCACAGUUUGCUCAUGUGGAUGCACAGCUCGGUGCCCAGGCAGUUGUGCUCGUUGGGUUGGCACCGCGACACUUUGCUCUGAGGGCAUAUAUCGGGCGAUUCGUCCGAGCCAUCGGGACAAUCCUUUUCCCCGUCACAGCGCCAGCCCUUAGAUAUGCACGUAAUCUGAUCUUUGCAUGCAAACUGUUUGGGGCUACAAGUCUUCGGUGCUUCGAGGGCGCGGGCGGCGGGCGCGGCCAGCAGGGCCAGCAGGCACCCGGCCAGGGCCAGCAGCGGCCCCAUGCCGGCGGCGCGGCCCGGCUCGGCUCGGCUCGGUACGGAUCCGCUCGGCUCGGCUCGGCCCGGUUCGGCCCCGCUCCUCACGCCGUUCUGCCCGCGGGUCGGCGCGUCCCGCGCCCGCGCACCGACAUCCGCGGAGGGAGGGGGGGGGGGCGGGAGGGG
rnacentral:lncRNA from 1 species